rnacentral:lncRNA from 1 species
UUAAUAUUUUUCUUUUGAGGAAGAUUAGGCCUGAGCUAACAUCCACCACCAAUCCUCCUCUUUUUGCUGAGAAAGAUUGGCCCUGAGCUCACAUCUGUGCCCAUCUUCCUCUAUCUUAUGUGGGACGCCUGCCACAGCACGGGUUAAUAAAUGGUGCGUAGGUCCACGCCUGGGAUCCAAACCUGUGAACACUGGGCCACUGAAGCGGAGUGUGCAAACCUAACCACUAUGCCACUGGGCCAACCCCUCUGUGUUACUAUUUUUGUAUGUGUUUGUCUUUCUUGCCAACUAGACUACACUUCUCUUGAGGGUGUAGAUACAGUGUAGAUCUUCAGAUACAUAGUUGUAGUAUGAUCUGGUUUAAGUCAGUAUUUUGAAAAAUGGGUGGAAAUUUUUGUUGGGUAUAGUUUUGGUUUAAAUAAUUCUUUAUGAGUCUGUCCCUGAAAUAAGAAAUCAAGCAGGUCUUAAUGGUAUUGGAGAGGUGGUAAAUGGAAUUUAUAGGGAGAGUUGUCCUUAUUGGUCUUCAUUUUAUUUAUAGAAACAAAACCUGCACUUAAUUCUAAGGUUUGGUCAAUUUUAUGUGAGUAGUGCUGAUUAGUUAACUGCGGAAGUCUGAUGUGGUGAUAACACAAACUGUUCAGUUUAACACAGCAAAUUGUUUUCUUCCUCUCAGGUACUUCAUUGUAUGUAAUACAAAUGCUAUUUGUAAAUAACCAUGUGGAUAGAGAAGGUAACCUAUAAUCAGAGGCAGAACUAUUGGGCAGUAUUCGAGAAGUACAAAACAUGUCUUAUAGUUUUCCUGUGUGUGUACAAGUGGAUCAGAAUAAUGUUGAAAGGCUGAUUACUUGACAAAGGCUGAGAUAAAUCUGUGUUUAUCUGGGUUCAAGAGUGUCAGCUUAAACGAGGGCUGUCAAGUCUCCGUGGAGUGUUGGCAGGCAGGUUCCUGGGGUGGUGACACUCUGAAUGGUCUGGAAUGUGGAAUUCUGUGUUUCAGAGAGGACCAUUAAAAUAUCUGUGUUCUGGUUGUAGAGUUCUGUUUUGGUGUUUUGCCUGUUGUUUUGUGAGAAUAGACAGACUCUGAUCCUAGGUGAGUUUGUAUGUGCUUAUGUACAAUGUUGGAGGUUGUUCCUCAAUCCCUUACUCUUUGUCUUCCCCAGUCAUGUUUGCCCUUUCUCUCUCUUUAGGAAAUGAUGGUAUUUGUAGUAAGGGUUAAAUAAAUAGUCAUGAAGUACAGUGUUACUCCUGAGAAAUUUUCACUUUUGUCAGAGACAAAGGCUUAAGCAGAGGCACAUUUAGAUGGAGGGAAUAUUUUGGGAGAUAGCAAGUCUUCUGUGUGUGGUAGAUUGGAUUGUUGGUCACAAUUCUUAAUUCCUCUGUAGUGAUAUGUAGCAUUACACUUAUCCUGUCCUCAUGGUGUUGGUGUGUUUGGAUUUAACUGUGUGACUUGCUUUGGCAAUGGGAUGUUAGUGGAUUUGGUAAGAGGACAGCAUUAAAAUGCCGUGUUAUUUGCACUUGUGUUCUUGUCCUUUCCACUAUCACCAUAAGGAGAACAUGCCCUGGGUAGUCACUGCCUCCCCAGCUGGGCUCAGAAUAGAACAUUUGAAGCAAUGUCAGCGUAAACAACUGAUGAACUCAUAGGUGUGAGAAUAAUUAUUAUUGUUAAGCCAUUGAGUUUUGGGAUGGUUUCUUAGGCAGCAUUACUGGCAAUAGCUAACUAGUAGUCUCUGCAUCUUUAAAAUUCAUUUCAUUAAGCAGUUGUUGAUGGAUAAUACUUUCUCUGAUUAUAGAUACAGGCAACCUCCCUUCCCUCUACUUGCCUAAUUAGGGUUAAUGGCAAUAGAUGUGCUCCUGUAGAUUCCCUUAGAGUAGCCUGACUUUCACCGUUGUUGUGAACAGUGCAAAAAUUAUAUUGGGUUCAUUCCCAUUCAUUCUCCUUUCUGUCUGUAUUUUAGGUGUUACAGGUCUAAAUAGUGCUCUGGAAGGUGCCUUGGGCAAGUGGGGGAGGCUAGGAGACCUUGCCCCAGUUGUUCCCAUCUCUGCUUCAGGCUGAGUAGCUUCACUUUUAUUUAGGUAUUUGGUUUUCAUGUAAGAUUUUAUUAGAAAAAAAGGUAUUUUUUAGAAAAUUUGAAAAUUGUUACUAUAAACAAACUUGUAUAUUCAUACUGUGGAAUAUUACUUAUCAAUAAAAAGGAAUGAACUGUUACUGAUACAAUAACUUGGAUGCAUCUCAAGGGAAUUAUGCUGAGUGAAAAAAACGAAUUUCAAAAGGUUACGUAUUGUAUGGUUCCAUUUAUAUAAUGUUCUUGAAGCAACAAAUUUAUGGAGAACAGCUUAGUGAUUGCCAGGGUUUGGGGAUGGGGGUUUGUGGAGGUUGGAUGUGGCUGUAAAGGCGUAGCACAAGGGAGCUUUUUAGUGAUGCAGCAGUUCUGUGUCUUGAUUGUGGUGAUGAUCACAUGAAACUACCCAGGUGAUAAAAUUGUACACACACAGACACACACACACGUUUGUAAAACUGGUAAAAUUUGAAUAAGCUCUGUGGAUUGUGUCACUGUCAGUUUCCUGGUUUUGAUCCUAUUCUGUUAGUUAUGCAAGAUGUUACCAUGGUGGGAGGCUGGGUGGAGAAUGCACCGGGCCUCCUUGUGCCUUUUUUUUGGUUACUUCCUGUGAGUAUAUAAUUAUUUCAGAAUUAAAAGUUAAGAAUCAAAAACAUUGCUAUGUAUAAGAGCUAAUAUUAGAGGGAAAGAAAAAUAAUUCUUCCUUUAUUGUUAUGAAGUGGUUUAUUUGAAAGAAAUUUGAGUGAAUAUUGACACAUUUUUUGGGGGCAAUUUAUUCAUCCCUGGUACUCUGAGAUGUUCUUUAGAGACAAGUUAAUGUGACGUGGGGCUGGCGCAGCGGUGCAGCAGGUAAGUUCUCACGUUCUGCUUUGGCCAUCCAGGGUUCACUGGUUCAGAUCCCAGGUGCGGACAUGGCAUCGCUCGGCAAGGCACGCUCUGGCAGGCAUCCCACAUUUAAAGUGGAGGAAGAUGGGCACGGAUGUUGGCUCAGGGCCGAUUUUCCUCAGCAAAAAGAGGAGGAUUGGCAGUAGUUAGCUCAGGGCUAAUCUUCCUCAAAAAAAAAAGUUAAUGUGACAAAUGAGGGAGUGCUUAUGUAUGUGUGUGUGUAUUUGCUUCCAUCUAAUGGAAUUAUUUAUAAGACUCUCACAAAAGAGCCCAUUUUUUUUGUUGUUGUUACUACUGAUAGCAAAAAGGAAGAAGAGGAUAUUAGAUAAGGGAAAAGAGAAGAGAAGGUCCUCGUUUUAUGUGAGGUUAUUAUUAGAGAGAAGGCAACUAGCAGAGGACUAGCAAUUUUCAGUUUUGGCAAUCCAGAGAGACUUCUGUGCUAGGAAAUGAAAAGUACUUUCUUUCUAUUAGGAGUGUUCCGAGCUGUGAAUGUUCACAGUCAUAUGCUCCUUUGCUGUCACAUAUUUGGAAAUAAACGAGCUCGCAGGAGUUGACUGGAGGCUGACUCGUUUGGGGAAUAAAAUCGUCUAACAGCUCCUGGCUUUGGAUUCUAACCUAUUUCAGUGAUGAUACCAUCAUCAAUGUCCUCUACUUCCCCCCUCUUUGUUCUGUGCUUGAGAAUUUCCUGUGCAAGCAAGAAUAAUAGAAAUGCUUUGUUUUAAAAAAAUUUUAAAGAUUAUGAUCUGACUUGUCUUAGUACUUCUUUUAGUUGUUUAAAAAAAUAGUUUAUGAUGCAAAACAGUCUAGCAUGGGUUACAGGUCUGAUAAUAUUUUCGCCUGGUUUGGUGCUUCCCACUGACUAAACCGUGGAAAGUUUAGCGUGAGAUCUGUAGUAUGACAUGCGGAACCACAUUUAAUUUUACCCCAAGCAUAUGAAUGAACCUAUCAAGAAGAAAGGGAGACCAGUCAUGUCCUUUAUUACAUAACUGUUUUUUCACUUUUUUCUAAGGUAUGAGGAUACAAAAUAAAUGUUUACUUAAAAGGCCAACAGGCGUUAUUUAGCUGUCUUUAUCAUACAGUCACAUUUUUUUCUUUAUAUGGCAUCAUGUGGAAAUAAAAUUUUACUUAUAUGUGUGUAAAAGGGAGUAUAGAAUGCAGUUAUGUGCCGAGGCUUACAAGCCAGAUGUCCUGGAUUCAAAUCCCACCCUUGACCCUCAGGCAGGUACUUACCUUCUCUGACUCGUUCUCCUCGUCUGUAAAAUGAGAAUUCAGUUGUUUACGAUUGUGAGGUCCUAUUAUUGUGAGGUUAAUGGAAAAGCAGUAUUUUUCAGACGGUUUGUACUCUGUACUGACAUCAGGGGUUGGAAGUGCAACAAGGAAGACAAGUGGGGCUGCAGCAGUAGAAAGGAAGAUGGAGGGAUGAUACCCAGAGAUCAGAAACUGUAGAUGCUGCAGCCCUUGAGUUGACCUGCUGCUGCACUCUCGGAGCACUGUUUGAGGCAGGCCUGGCUCUGCUGAAGAGCUGUCACUUACCCAAAGGGUACUGCCUCUGCCCUGGCUGCUCAUUUGGAAUCACUCCAUUCCCAUAGCAGCAAGAGCGUCUGCCAGCAACUGGCACACAUGGGGUGCUGGAGCCCUUUUCUUCAUCUUCCUCAGUUUUCUUCAGUGCUCAUCAGGAAGCCACCUGGCGAGAGAGCUUAGAAAUACAAUUAAAUGUCUCCUGGCCCCAGAUGUUCAGAGUAGCAUAUAGAAGGAUAGAUGAAGUGAAAAACAGUAGGUAACUAACCUGUGCAAAGGCCUUAUACAUAUGCUUAUAUUUUUGUAGUCAGUAACUAUGGCUAUCUAGGAAGGAGAACUCCAGGGCUUGAGCACAGCAGUGGAGGGAUGCAUUUGUUUUACUCCUCGUCUUUGGGCUAUUUUUAAUGCCUUUAGAUCCACAGAAUUGAAUUGAUUAUACUCAUUUUGUGGCACAUUGAUUUUGGUCCAUGCAAAUCAUCAUGCCCAUUCCUUUCUUCCGUUGUCCCCCAUGCCGUGUAUGUCUACUUCCCAUACUUUUAUUUGGAUACAUUGAAAUUCUUGAAAGAUCUAUAUAGUCAUGUGCUGCAUAAUGACGUUUUGGUCAAUGACAGGCUUCCUAUACAAUGCGGUCCCAUAAGAUUAUAUCAGAGCUGAAAAUUCCUGUCGCUUAGUGACAUAGCUGUCAUAAUGUCGUAGUGCAACGUAUUACGUGUUUGUGAUAAUGCUGGAAAACUAACCUGUGCUGCCAGUCGUAUAAAAGUAUAGCACAUAUAACUAGGUACAGUAUAUAAUACUUGAUAACAAAUGACUGUUGCUGGAUUAUGCAUUUACUAUACUAGUUAUUUUAGAGUGUACUCUUUCUACUUAUAUAUAAAAAAAUUUACUUAAAAAAGUAUGCCGUGUUGUGCCAACAGCAGCCUCAUACAUACAUCAUCUUGUUUACUGCACCUCUCGAUUGCACCAUUUUCUCUUGUGCUUGAUGUAAUCUCAUAUGGUUUUGUUCGUCAUGGCCCCUAAGCGUACAAAAGCCACUGCUAGUGUUGCAUUACAUAAUAGGCCACAUUGAGUGAUUGACCUGGAAACGAAAUUAAAAGUGAUUAAGGACUAUGAAGGUGGAAAAUCAGCAAUGGUUAUUGCUCACUACUUGGACAUGUCCCAUUUCACUGUAGCUCCAUCUUGAAGAACAAGAACAAAGUGAUAGAAGCUGUUACUUAAAGGACUGGUUCUUCGACGGCAAUGAGACUAACAAAAUUCGAGAAGGGCCUGUAUCAGACACUGAGAAACUUUUUUUUUUUAAAGAUUUUAUUUUUCCUUUUUCAUCUAAAGCCUCCCGAUACAUAGUUGUAUAUUUUUAGUUGUGGGUCCUUCUAGUUGUGGCAUGUGGGAUGCUGCCCCAGCAUGGCUUGACAAGCGGUGCCAUGUCCGCACCCAGGAUUCGAACUGGUGAAACCCUGGGCCGCCAAGGCAGAGGGCGCAAACUUAACCACUCGGCCACGGGGCCGGCCCCUAUAGCAGCUUUUAAGGCCUACUACCUGAGGGAGACAUUGAUGCAAUUCUGGAGGGAUGACAACAUGUAUGACUGCAUCAAGGGCUUGGGGUGAUGUCACCAAGGAGUGUGUGAAUGGCAUCUGGAAAGACACUCGAGGUUCGUCUAUGACUUCAGAGGAUUUUUCAAGGAUGAGGAAGUUGCCAAAAUCGACAAGGCUGUAGUUGAGAUGGCAAACAACUUUAACCUGGGUAUGGAUGGAAGAUGGCGUUGAGGAACUCGUAGAGGUGGUUCCUGAGGAAUUCACUAGUGAGGAGUUGUUGAGACUGAAACAGGAUGCGUAGCUGAAGAAGAGGCAAAAGAAAAGGAAACUGCAGGAGAAGGAAAAGAAGAACCUUCAAGAAAAUUUGCAGUGAAGGGUUUAGCAGAAGAUUUGCAGACCUCAACGAGCUCCUUAAAAAUUGUGAAAAUAUGGAUCCCAACACUGAAAGGUUUUCAUCAAUAGAGAGGAAUGUUCAUGGUGCACUAUCUGCUUAUAAGCAAAGCUGUGAUUUAAAAAAAAAAAAAACAAGCAAACCACCAUGGUCAUAUUUCUACAAAGAGCGCUUCAAAAAGAGCCUCAGGCAGGUCCUUCAGGAGGCAUUCCAGAAGACGGCAUCGUUAGCAUAGGAGGUGACAGCUCCAUGUGUGUUAUUGUCCCUGAAGACCUUCCAUUGGGACAAGAUGUGGAGGUGGAAGACAGUGAUAUUGAUGAUCCUGACCCUGUGUAGGCCUAGGCUACUGUGUGUGUUUGUGUCUCAGUUUUUAACAAAAAUGUUUAAAAAGUAAAAAAGAAAACACUUUUCUUAAUAGAAAAAAGCUUAUAGAAUAAGGAUAUAAAGAAAAUAUUUUGUACAGCUGUAUAUUGUUUGUGCUUUAAGCUGUUACUACGAGUAAAAAGUUUAAAAAUUUUUGAAGUUUAUAAAGUAAAAAAGUUACAGUAAGCUAAUUUAUUCUUGAAGAAAGAAAACUAUUUUUUAAUAAAUUUAGUGUUGCCUAAGUCUCCAGUAGUGCACAGUACUGUCCUAGCCUUCACAUUCCCUGACCACUCGCUCGCUCACUCACCCAGAGCAGCCUCCAGUCCUGCAGGUCCAUUCAUGCUCAGUGCCCUGGAAGGGUUUACCACUUUUCUUUUACUGUACUUUUUCUAUGUUUAGAUACACAAAUACUUAGCAUUGUAUUACAGUUGCCUGCAGUAUUCGGUACAGUACAUGCUGCACAGGUUUGUAGCUUAGGAGCAAUAGGCUAUACCGUUUGCCUAAGCAUGUAGUAGACUAUACCAUGUAGAUUUGUGUAAGUACAUUCCAUGUUCACACAGUGACGAAUUUGCCUAAUGCACAUUUCUCAGAAUGUACCCCUGUCCUUAAGUGACAUGUGACUGUAAUGUUAUUCAUGGGUUAAAUUUAAGUAAAUGCCACUGUGCUAAAAAUUUUAUUUUUUAUUAUUUUUUUAUACUCAGCAUUAGGUUUUUGAACUGGAUCCAUCUUGCUGUAUAUAAAUUUGGUUCACUAUUUUUUGUUGCAUAGUAUUCUACCAUGCUGUGCAUGUAUUAUAUUUUCUCUUCUUACCUAUUUUCCCAUUGAUGGGCUUCUAAUUUGCCUGAACUUUCUUGCACGUAAUACUGCAAUGAACGGCCUCAUCCUUGUUUUAUUAUUGAUCUCUUGAGAGUUUCUGGGGUAUACACCCUGUUUGGUAGGCAGCCUCUAAAAUGGCUCCUAACGGUCUCUCCCUCCUGAUAUUCCUGUCCUUGUUUAAUCUCCUCCCCGUUAGUGUGGGCUGGACCUAGCGAUUCUCUUCUGAUGAAUAGAACAUGGCAAAUGUGAUGAGAUAUCACUUCCGAGAUUAGUGUACCAAAGAUCUGUGACUUCCCUCUUGCUUGCCAUUUCUCAUUGUCUCGUCCCUGGGGGAAGCAAGCUGCUAUGUUGUGCACUGUCCUGUGGAGAGGUCCAUGUGGCAGGGAACUUAUGUUUCUGACCAACAGCCAACGAAGCUCUGAGGCUUGCCAACAGCUAUGUGAGUGAGCUUGAAAGCAGAUGCUUUCCCACCUACCUUUGAGGUAAUUGUAGCCUCAGCUGACCCUUGAUUGCAGUUUUUAGAGACCCUAACGCAGAGGCACCCAGCUAAUCUAUAUCUGGAUUCCUGACCCACAGAAAAUUUAGGAUAAUAAAUUUUUAUCAUUUUAAGCCCGUAAAUUUUGGGGUAACUUGUUAAUGUAACCAUUGGAUUGUAGGACACGUGCACACUUAACUAAGUCUGGCCAGAUUUCCUUCAUACCAGCAAUACUUGAAGGCUUCUGUUUCCUUACACUUUCACUAGCUCCUGCUAAUAUCAGACUUUCUAAAUAUUUUUUUGCCAACCUGAUAGGUGUAAAGUGAUAUCUCGUUUUAAUUAUAUGUAUUUGAUAACAUGCUGAGUAUUCUGUCAUAUCCCUUUUUGGUCAGUGCUUAUUCAUAUUCUUGCUCUUUCUUUGGUUUUUCUGUCGUGUUGUUUAGUAGAAAUGUCUUAUGUGAACAGCCCUUGUCGGUUUCAGUCAUUGCAAAUAUCUUAUUUACCUAUUAAAUUUGCAAAUAAUGCCCUUGAUUAAACAACUAUUUAACUUUGAUGUAGUUAUGUCCAUAAAUUCUUUCUCCUUAAGGUUUGUGCUUCUCUGGAUCUUGUUUAGGAAGGACCACUGAUAUCCAUAAUUUAGAUUUUUUGAAUAAAUAAAAAUCUUUUUUCUGAAAACUGUAGGAUGAAUUGAAGUGGAUAUUAAAAUAUAGAUGAACACUGUAUUCUCUUGUUGCCCAUUUCAUUUGAAUUUGCUUUGCAACACCACUGUCAAGUACUUAUUUUACAUGUAAUGUGGUAACUUAACUCAUUCACAAAUCUGGAUAAAGAUGAGGUGUGGCUAUGUGGUAGUGGCCUGAGUUAGGUUGAUAGGAGAACCUUGUAGGAGUGAAUUGAUACAUUGGUCCCCAAGUUACAGAAACUAUAAGAUAAAGUAUGUUGCAAAAUAAUAAAAAUGUGUUUUUGUACUUAAAAAUCGGGAGAAAACCUCAAAUUCUUUUAAAUAGUAAUUUUAGCUUUAAAAAUGUCCACCAGAUGGCACCAAUACACGAUAAGUACUUAGGAAAAUCAGAAGCAUUAUUCUCACGCUUAUUUUAAAAUCUGUUAAAAUUAAAAUGUGUUAACAGUGUAAUUAAGGAGAUAAUUCUGGCUCCCUACUAAUUAGUCUUCAAGAAACCCUUUCUGAGGUUCCAGUUUGGGUGAGGUGUCUUCCCUCUCUGGUCCUGUAGCUAGCUAAUAGCACCCACCUGAUUGCUCUGUAAUUCUCUUCUAGAGUCUGUUUCUUUCACUUGAAGUAGAGAUGGGGACAUUUUUAGCCUCACGAGGGCUUUUAUUUAUUUUUCUAGUAAACGUUAGGUUUGGAGUUAAAGCUAGGUUUGAGGCAAAUAAAAUCUAAAAUGUAGCCUUUUCAAUUUAAACGUAUCUUUCAAUGCUUAUAAAAUCUGCAGCUUUGGGAAAAUAAUGGGAGUAAACAUUUCAUUGCUUUAAUUUUAUGUAUUGAAUUGAUAAUGAAAAAAAUAGCCAACAUUAGCUGCCUCAUUCUCUGGACCGAUCUACGAAUCCCAUCUCCUUUUGGGAAAUGGGCACAGAGAAAUUUAUAGCCCUUGAAAAAUAAAUUCAUGAAUUAAUAUGCCCAAGGACCAUAAAAGUGACUUCCAAGCAACAGCCUGGACUCCAAAUAUGAAACUUUCAUACCGUUUGUCUUGAAUGGCCCUAAUGAGACUCAGGCUCUGUGUCUGUAAUGUCUGAGGGUGCCAGAAAAGUUUCUGUGAGCUCCAUCUCUUUGUCUUUGGAGAGGUGAGAUUCUUUCUAUAUUGCUGAUACGUUGAGAGGCCCAGCCAAGCAUCAGGCUUUCCAUCCCUGAAAAACAUCUCUCCAGAACCUUCUUAUUGCUGUUCACUUGUUGCAGAUACCUAGUAUGCUUCCAUUAUUGAAUUCACUUUUAAAAAUGAUCGAUACCAAUAUUUGCCAGCAUGUAAUUAGUGAAACGCAGUCUUUCCAGAAGCUACUUGAGGAACAAAGUGUUCUAUAGUUAAGCAUUGGCAAACAGUUUUCCUCUUCACAGCUCACAUUAUCAUGUUAAAGACUCUCUGAAGCCCUAUAGCAGUGAUUCUCAAUGGAGCAGUAUUGCCCCCUAGAGAAUGUUUUGUAAAUUGUAAAUUUGUGGGAGUGUUUUUGUUGUCUCACCGAUUAGCCUAGAAGUCAUAGGCAGUCCCAUAAAAGCAAGAGUCAUUCCUUGACCCCUAGGAUUACUCUCAUCCUUGUAAUCAGGUAGCUGAAAAAUCUGUUUAUAAUUAAACUUAGGACCUAACUCUGUUGUACAUAUAAACAUGAAGUAGUUGUGAUUUUAUAAUAGUAGCCAGACACUGAAUGUCUUAGGAAUACAAUGACCAUGUAAAUCAAGGGAAGAUUGUAUUUUCUUUUGUUUGGAGCUUUAUCAAGAAUUGUUUACUGUUUCAGAAAAGCAUAUCGUGAGCAUAUACCACUGGUUGUAUUUGAGUUGCUGAUAUAGCACACCUCUGUAGCCUUGUGUUUGUAGCUGUCCUAUUCACCAUGAUUCUCCACAUAGAUGCAAGCGUCUGACUACUUAUGCCUUUUGGUUUACUCAUUCCCAAGCAUUUAUGUAUUAAAAUACAUAUUAUGUUAUUGUUGGUCUUUUUGGAAAUUAUGUUUAUGUAGGAUAUAUCUGAAUAUUGUUUCAGGGUGGUAAAGGAGGCAUUACAAAGAUACAUGUUUACAGCAAGGGCACAUUGGAUCUGAUAGGGUUGGGAACCACUAUCCUGGGUAGAGGAAUCUGGAGAAUUUUCUUAACUCAGUAUUUGCAAAAUUAAUUGGAUAAUAAAACCUUUAUUUUGUGUAACGUCUGUUAACUUUAGGGAAAACUAUACUAAGUAUGCAAACCCUGUCAUUAAUGAAACUUUAUAGUAUUGUAUACUUCUCAAAAUGCUUUCACAUGCCUUAUUUCAACUUAUUUUUACAUUUUACAAGGUGCAUACCAUAGGUAUUCUCCUUCUGUAGAGGAAGUAGAACAAGAGAGAAUUCAAGUAACUCACCUUAGGUCACUCAGAGGUCUGUGGCAGAGCCGCAGAGGAGAGGCCUGACUCCCAGAUCCAUGCCCUUCCUUCCACAUCUUACGGCUCUGAAAGUUUCCCUGGGGGAAGCAAGCUGCUGUGUUGUGCCCUGUCCUGUGGAGAGGCCCAUGUGACAGGGAACUUAUGUCUCUGACCAACAGCCAGUGAAGCCCUGAGGCUUGCCAACAGCUAUGAGGCUCCCAACUUGAACGGAAUAAAUUACUCCAUAAAGUGCUAUCUGUCUGCCCACGGUACUUUAUCCAUACAUCUAGUGAAACUCUUAACACACCAGCAUCUAAAAUGUGUCUGCAUUUGUGCUUAAAGUAAACUUCUUGAGAGUAAAGACUAUGUGUAACUUAUUUCAUGUUUGUAUAUUUGCAAGGCCUCGCACCAUGAUUGGAACAAUACAUGUUUAUUGACUUAAAUUCCUUUAAAGCACAGUAACAUGGAGAUCAAAGACAGUACUUCUCUUUUCUUAAUUAAUUAAUUCAACAAAUUUAUUCAGAACCUACUUACAUGUUAGACACUGGCACCCCUGAAGAGAUAAUUAUGAAUAAGACACACUUUCGUGUCUUAGUCUCAAUUUAUUUCUGUUGUUCCUGAUAAAUCAAUUGUUGAUGCUGGUGGUGGUAAGCUGAGCCAGUCCACUUCUUUUUGCUCACUCAGGACAUGAAAAAGUUGUGGUGCUGGUGGUGGUAAAAGCAGCAGACAGCAUGUCAAAACUGUGCCCUCCUUCUGACUGUACUUUUGAUAAUUGUAGCAUGUCCAACUAUCACUUACUAUUGCCCACUGCUCCCCAAGGGGACCUCUAGAUGAGCUCAGUGGUAGUCUUCUGCGUCUGGCUAAUGAAGAGUUGGAUCCUCCUGGAGUAGAUAUGCAGGAUGAGUGGGGCCAGGAUGUGAGGAGGGGAUCAAAUCAGAAAAGCCAAGUUUAUCUCAGAUCCAAAGGGCAAGCAUGGGAUGGACAAUGGGGACAAAAUUCAAAGUUUAGAGUCAGUAUUGGACAGGGAUGAAGCUGGAAGUUGUAGGAAUAGAGCUGGAGGUUAAGACUUAGGUAGUUGACAGAUCCAAGAAUUUUGUGGCAAAAAGAGCUGGGAUGUCUAGAGUUAUCUGUUCUUGAAUCGCUCAGCUUACUGAAAGAUACAGUUCUGGCCUGUUUGGGGAGUGAUGUUAGCCUUAUGGCUGAAUAAGAUGUCCCUCACUUGUGUCCCUCCUCCCAAAACAAAUUGGCAUUCAUUCAUGGACAAAAGUGUCUUUGUAGGAGCUGUAGGAUCCAGCACCAUAUGCCAAGGGACCUGGGAGGAGUUUCACCUACCCGUACAUCAGGUAAUAGGCAUAUGAACCUUGCUCCCGGCUGUGAACCCUGCAAUGGCCUGUUAACCAACUCCAGCCCCUCUCUGCUGCAGUCCAGGAGCCCCUGGGAAGCACUGUCUUAGAAAAUCACCCAGGAACAAGAGAGCCUUUGUGGAAGUCCAAGUUUCUAAUGGAGAAGUUCCAGCACACCAUUGGAACAAAAAAGUAUGAGUUUGGGUGCAUUGGAGAGGGUAAGGGGAACAGCUUGACUUUACCUGCAUCGUCCUUCCCCUAAGGUGGCACAGCUUAGGGCCAAGAGAGAUCUUCCUGGCCUGUGCUUUCUCUUGUGAGGGAAAAGGAGAGUGUGUGAGUGAGCACCUGGCUUCCCCAGCUGUGUGAGACAUUGCCACAGAGGCUCAUUUCUCUCUCACCCCAUCCAGAGUACUGAGACAUGAGCUUCAUGACUGGGGGGUGGAAACAGGCUAGGAGAGCAGCAGGUUGGACUCUUAGGGGGCAUUAAAGGGAUGUAGAUCCUACUAACUGUGUCAUAGAGUCCAUCAAGAAGCCCACCCAUGGGCCACUGGGGACACCUUGUCAGUGAAUCUCCCUGACUAGUCCAUUGGUAGCAGCAAGAGCAAGCUUUGGCAAAUGGGUAGUGAACUUGUGCCAAAAGCUGACCUGAAUCUGUGGGCCAGGGAGAAACCGCAAGCUUGAACUCUAGUGCCACUUUUGGAGAAACAAAAGGUAGGCUAUCAUCACCCAGCCUGGUAUGUUGCAGGAUCAAGAGAAGGCACACAAGCUUAAGAAUUCUUCCACAAGAGGGGACAAGAAAUUUGGAGCAAGUGUAUCCGCAGAAAGCCUCAGAAUCACUAGUAAGGCUGAUGGAAGGCAUUUAUUUCCCAAAGGAAUUUAUUUAAGAUUGGAGGUGGUGACUGCUACUUCAAAUGAGAAGACAGCAAUGCAAAACUUCUAGGACAUGAAAAAUCAAGGAAACAUGACAUCGUCAACGAAUCAUAAUAAUCUCCCAGUAACUGAGUAACUGAUCCCAAAGACAAGGAGAUCUGUGAUUUACCUGGUAAUUCAAAAUAGCUAUUUUAAGGAAACUCAAUGAGCUAAAGAAAACACAGAUAAUUCAAGAAAAUCAGGAAAACAAUAUAUGAACAAAUGAAAAGUUUAACAGAGAUAGAAAUAAUAAAAAAUCAAAUUCUAGAGCUGAGGAAUACAAUGAAUGAGAUGAAAAAUGCAACAGAGAACAUCAACAGCAUAUUGGAUCAAGCAGAACAAAAAUCUGUGCAUUAAAAGACAGGAACUUUGAAAUUAUGUAGUCAGAGGAGAACAAAGAAAGAAGAAUUAAACAGUGAAGAAAGCCUAUGUGAUCUAUGAGUGGGAUACCAUGAAAAAAGUAAUUUGCAAAUUAUUGGAGUUCCAGAAGGAGAAGAGAAGGAGAAAGAGGUGGAAAGCUUAUUUAAAGAAAUAAUGGCUGAGAACUUCCCAAAUCUGGCGAGAGAUCUGGAUAUCCAGGUUCGUGAAUUUCAUAGAUCUCCAAACAAACUCAGAGAGCGCCUCUCCAAGACACACAAUAAAUCUAUCAAACAGACAAAGAGAGAGUCUUAAAAGCAGCAAGAGAAAAGAACCUUAUAUCUUACAAGGGAACCCCCCUAAGACUAUCAGUGAAUUUUUCAGCAGAAAUGUUACAGGCCAGGAGAGAGUGGGAUGAUAUAUUCAAAGUGCUGAGAGAAAAACACUGCCGACAAGGAAUGCUGUAUCUGGCAAAGUUAUCUUUCAGAAAUGAUGGCGAGAUAAAGACUUGCCCAGACAAAUGAAAGCUGAGGGAGUUCAUCACCACAAGACUCGCCUUACGAGAAAUACUGAAAGGAGUUCUUCCAGCUUGAAACAAAAGGAAGGUAAUUAGGAACAUGAAAACAUUUGAGAAUAUACCACACAUUGGUAAAGGUAAGUAUAUAGUCAAGUUGAGAAUACUCUAAUACUGUAAUAUGGUAGUGUGGUAACCCCUUAAGUCUAGUGUAAAGGUAAAUUUAUACACUCUAUAAAAAGAGGUAAAUUGCGACGUCAAAAACAUAAAAGGGGAAGAGUAAAAGCGUGGAGUUUUUAUAUGCGAUUGAAGUUAAGUUGCUGUCAGCUUAAACUGGACUGUUUUUGCCAUAGAAUAUUUUAUGCAAGCCUCAUAGUAAUCACAAGUAGGGAAAGCAUUUCAGUUUUAAAUAUUGUUGUCCAGAAAGGCCUUGCUGAGAAAGUGACAUUAGAGCAAAGGCUUGAAGGAGGGAAGGAAUGAGCCCUUUGUAUAAUGGGGGAAGGAGUGUGCCAGGCAGAGGAAGCAGUGGUUAUAGGGGCCCUGAGGGAGGACGUGUCUGUUCUGUUCCAAACCAGGCUAAUGAUAGCGUUAGCACACACAGAUCAGCACUCCCUACAUGCCAGACACUGUUGUAAAGGCUCUACAGCCAUUAUCUCAUUUAAUCCUCCAUGUUGCCCCUGUCCCCAUUUAUAGAUGAAGAGACUGAGGCACAGACAGGUUAGGUAACUUGCCCAAGAUUAUUAGCUGGAAAGUGCUGGAACCCAGGCAGUCUGGCUCCAGAGUCUGUGUGCUCAACCACUCUGCUCUGCUGCUCGGUGUCUAAUCCUUUGGAGUUGUGGAGGGCAUUGCUCAUCACAUUGUACUGUGCCACUUUGCUUUUAGGAGAAACUAUUUUUCUGAUCUUAAUAUUGACAUUAGUUGUACUUGUCUUGAGCCACUGGUUUAUUUCAAUCUAAUGAACACUAUGAUCUGUGAUGAUUGCUGAUCAUGAUUUUAUUUGGGCCACUGAAUAUUUAAAGGUGCACUCAUUUCUUUUUCUUUCUUCGUGUUGUUGUAUUUUGUUUAUCAUUAUAAUCUAGCUUGUAUCCUCUUAGAUAUAGAGAAUGAUGAAUGAAUACAAAUGAAUUUUAAAAGAAGGCUCAGACUUAGCGGUUUAGAACUGAAAAGUAAGCAGCCCUGUCUCUGGGAAAAGCUACCCACCAGCUUGGCCUUGCACAACUAGGAUUCUCAUUUCUUCCUUCUUCCAGCCACAGCCUUCUCCUGUUGCUCCCUCUGGAGCUGAGGGAAGAGGAAAGAAGCAGCCUUCUCCCUGAAACCCCAGCUCUGACUAUUGUUGUCCAUGUGCAAUUAGGAGCCUGGAGUGAGAUCAAACAGUUCAUAUCCUGACCGCCAUCUAUCAGAGGUUGGGUCCUCAGCAUCUUCAUCUGUAAAAUGAAGAUAAAAAUUAUACCUACCUCUUAAAGUCAUGAGGAUUAAGUAAGAUAAUGUUUAUACAUGAAAUGCAUAGCACAGAGCUGAUGCAUAUAAAUACUAUGGAAAUCUUAGCUCUUAUUAUUAUUAGUUACUCUUCUUUAAUUAAACAAAAAAAACACUGGCUUGGUUGCGAUUUGGCUGUCCAUCUUAUCCAGUCAAGUGCCCUGUGGGGCCUCUCUGUGAUACUGAUCCCUCACACCUUGGCUUCCCAAGUAGGUGUGGCCUAUUGGAAACAAAACAAAACCAAUAUGAAUACAGGUAUAUGCUGGAGAUACUGCAGGUUUGGUUCCAGACCACCACAAUAAAGUGAGUCACACAAUUUUUUUGGUUUCCCAGUGCAUGUAAAGUUAUGUUUAUACUAUGCUGCUGUAGUCUACUGAAGAAUGCAAUAGCAUUAUGUCUAAAAAAAAAUGUACAUACCUUAAUUAAAAAAUACUUUAUUGCUAAAAAAUGCUAACCAUCAUCUGAGCCUUCAGCGAGUAGUAGUCUUUUUGCUGGCAGAGGGUCUUGCUUCAGUGUUGAUGGUUGCUGACUGAUCGGAGCGGUGGUUGCUGAAGGUUGGGAUGGCUGUGGCAAUUUCUUAAAAUAAGACAGAGUUUGCCACAUAGAUUGACUCUUCCUUUCACAAACGAUUUCUCUAUAGCAUGAGAUGCUGUUCCAUAGCAUUUUACCCAUGUAGAACUUCUUUCAAAAUUGGAAGUCAAUCCUCUCAAAUCCUGCUGCUCCUUUAGCAACUAAGUUUAUGUAAUAUUCUAAAGCCUUUGUUGUCAUUUCAACAGUCUUCACAUCUUUACCAGGAGGUUUACGGUAUAGUAAACAUAACUCAAGAAACCACUUUCUUUGCUCAUCCAUAAGAAGCAACUCCUCAUCCAUUAAAGUUUUAUCAUGAGAUUGCAGCAAUUCAGGCACAUCUUCAGCCUCCACUUCUUAUUCUAGUUCUCUUGCUAUUUUCACCACAUCUGCGGUUACUUCUUCCACUGAAGUCUGGAACUUCUCAAAGUCAUCCAUGAGGGUUGGAGUCAACUUCUUCCAAACUCGUGUUAAUGUUGAUAUUUUGACCUCUUCCCCAUGAAUCACGAAUGUUCUUAAUGUCAUCUAGAAUGGUGAAUCCUCUCCAGAAAGUGUUCAAUGCCCUUUGCCCAGAUCCGUCAGAGGAGUCACUAUGUAUGAGAGCUACAGCCUUACGAAAUGCAGUUCUUUUUUUUCAAAGAUUGGGCCUGAGCUAACAUCUGUUGCCAAUUUGUUUUUUUUCCCUUCUCCCCAAAGCUCCCAGAACAUAGUUGUGUAUUCUAGUUUUAGGUCCUCUUCAUUCUGCUAUGUGGGACGCUGCCUCAGCAUGGCUUGAGCAGUGUGUAGGUCCAUGGCCAGGAUCCUAACUGGUGAAACCCUGGGCCGCCGAAGCGGAGGGCAUGAACUUAACCACUUGGCCACAGGGCUGGCCCCCAAAAUGUAUUUCUUAAAUAAAAAAGAUUUGAAAGUCAAAAUUACUCCUUGACCUGUGGGCUAUAGAAUGGAUACUGUGUUAGCAGGCAUGAAAACAACGUUCAUCUCACUGUAUAUCCAUCAGAGCUCCUGGGUGACCUGGUGCAUUGUCAAUAAGCAGUAAUAUUUUGGAAGGAAUCUUUAUCUGAGCAGUGGGUCUCAACAGCGGACUUAAAAUAUUCAGUAAACCAUGUUGUAAGCGUAUGUGCUGUCAUCCAGGGUUUGUUGUUCCAUUUAUAGAGCACAGGCAGAGUAGAUUUAGCAUAAAUCUUAAGGGCCCUAGGAUUUUCAGAAUGGUCCAUGAGCAUUGGCUCCAACUUAAAGUCACCAGCUGUAUUAGCUCCUAACAAGAGAGUCAGUCUGUCCUUUGAAGCUUUGAAGCCAGGCAUUGACUUCUCUCUGGCUAUGAAAGUCCUGGAUGGCAUCUUCUUCCAGUAGAAGGCUGUUUCAUCUACGCUGACAAUCUGUGGUUGAGUGUAACCGCCUUUAUUAAUGAUCUUGGCUAGACCUUCUGGAUGACGUGCUGCAGUUUCUACAACAGCACUCACUCCUUCACCUUGUACUUUAUAUCAGGGAGAUGGCUUCUGUCCUUAAACCUCAUGAGCCCACCUCUGCUGGAUCACACUUUCUUGGGCAGCUUCCUCCCCUCUCUCGGCCUUCACAGAACUGAAGAGAGUGAGGGCCUGGCUCUGGAUCAGCCUCGGCCUGAGGGAGUGUUGUGGCUGGUUUGCUCUUCUGUCCAGGCCACUGAAACUUCCUCCAUAUCAGCAACGAGGCUGCUCUUCUUUCUUAUCAUUCGUGUGUUCACUGGAGUAACACUUUUCAUUUCCUUCAAGAACUUUCCCUUUGCAUUCACAGCUUGGCAAACUUUGGCACAAGAAACCUAGCUUUUGUCCUAUCUUAGCUUUCCACAUGCCUUCCUCGCUAAGCUUAAGCAUUUCUAGCUUUUGAUUUGAAGUGAGAGAUGUACGAUUCUUCCUUUCACUUGAACACUUAGAGGCCACUAUAGGGUUAUUAAUUGGCCUAACUUCAAUGUUGUUGUGUCUCAGGGAAUAGGGAGGCCCAAGGAGAGGGAGAGACGGGAGAGCAGGCGGUUGGUUGAGCAGUGAGAACACACACAGCAUUUAUCGAUUAAGUUUGCUGUCUUAUAUGGCCACAGUUCGUGGAGCCCCCUAAAAUUAUACUAACAUCAGGGAACACUGAUCACAGAUCAUCAUAACAAAUAUCAUAAUAGUGAAAAUGUUUCAAAUAUUGUGAGAGUUACCAAAAUGUGACAGAGGCAUGAAGUGAGCAAAUGCCGCUGGAAAAAUGGCACCAAUAGACUUGCUGCAUGCAGGGCCGCCCAAACCUUCAAUUUGUAGGAAACAAUAUCUACAAAAUGCAAUAAAGCAAAGCACAAUAAAACAAGCUAUGCCUGUAGUGAAUAAAACCAACAAGCAUAGCCAGGUUCCAACUGACCAAAAGCUUCGGUAAUGCUGAAGAUAGGGCUUCGCAGAGAUGACACGGGAGAGAGGACCAGGCAGAGAGGAGCUAUGUGAGGCAGUGCCUUUGCUUUGUAAGCUUGUCUCCCUCCCCCAACCAUUUUCAGUUGCUUAAGAAUUGUCUAGGCUCCUCACAAAAUUGGUAUUGACUCUUUUAGGAUUGCUUCAAGUUCUGCAAGAAGAAAAUGAUCCAGUUAAAGAGGCUUAAAAAGUUCUAUUAAAUAAUUUUUGAUUAGUUGUCUUAGAAUAAAAGAAAGUCUUUUUCCAGUGGCCCACAUGUUUGAUAAUUUCUUUUCGUCCUAUGAGAACAUUGAACUCGUGUGACCUUUAUUGAGUGGCGUGGUGUUGUGGGAAGAGCAUGUGCAUUGGGCCUCACUCCUGGCUGUGCAGUUGUAGGCUGCAGACACUGUGGCCAGGGUCCCGAGGUUCCUACCUCCCAAGGCUGUGGAGAAGGUUGACUGGUGUGGCACUGGGAAAGCUCCUCGCAGGUGGCAGACUUUCAGUGAUGUUGGUCUGAUUUUUUGAGGCCUUUUCUUAAAUUAUUUCUCUUUUGCCACAUCAUUAGAACUGCUUAAUUAUUCAGGACUUUUUCAUCCAGUUUAUGGAUUAUUGAGGACCUUUUCUAAUAAAUCUGUCUCCUGCUGACUUUUAAAAUUGCAGUAUAACUGCCUGUCAGUCUGUCAAUUAUGAGAAAUAGAUUAUUCAACAUCAAUAUUAUUGAAUGCCUUGGUAAAAUGGUCUUAUGAAAAAAUUUGAAACUAUAGUUAAAAUGGAGCUUCAGUUGAAAGGUUACUUUAUCUAUGGAUAAAUUUUACAAGUUUAUAGUUUUCUUAUUUUUAAGGUUGCUUUUCUUCUGAUUAGCAAUUAUCACAAAAAUGUGAAAAUCAGAUUAAAAUCACUUAUAAUCCUUCUAUUGCCCAGAAAUAACCGCUGUUAACUUUUAAUGUUUUCACUUUUAUAUGUACAGUUCUUUGUAAGACUUUUUCCACCUGAAAGUAUUUUAUAAAUAUUCUCUCAUAUUGCUAACAUUUAAAUUACUUUCAUAAUGGAUGUACUGGGAUCUACAUAAUCAUUAUCCUAAUUUAAAUAUUUAGGUUGUCCUAAACUUCUCCACAAGGAAUGUUUUGGGACGUAAGCCUUUGUCUGCAUUUCUGAUUAGUGCUUGAGAAUAAAUUCCUAGAAGUGAAAUUGUUGGGUCAAUGUCAAGUAAUAUUGCUGUGUAACAUGUCCUUAAAACUUAGUCACUUAGGGGCCAGCCCCGUGCCGAGUGGUUAAGUUCCCACGCUCCGCUGCAGCAGCCCAGGGUUUUGCCGGUUUGGAUCCUGGGUGCGGACAUGGCACCGCUCAUCAAGCCAUGCUGAGGUGGCGUCCCACAUGCCACAACAAGAAGGACCCACAACUAAAAAUAUGCAACUAUGUACUGGGGAGCUUUGGGAGAAAAAGGAAAAAAUUAAAUCUUUAAAAAAACAAACCAAAAAUCUUAGUCACUUAAAAUGGCAGCAAUCACUCAUUUACUCAUAAUUUUGCAAUUUGGGGACAAUUUAUCUCUGCUGUAUGUGACUGGGGUGGCUUGAUUGGGGCUAGAAGGUCCACUUUCUAGGUGACUCACGUGACUGAGAAGUUGAUGCUGGCUGUUGGCUGGGGCCUCGAGUCUCCAGGUGGACUUCUCCCCUGGGUUCCAAGAGCGAGCAGGUGGAAGCUGCCAGUCCUCUUAUAGGCCACGCUCGCAACUGGCACAGAGUCUCUUCUAGAACGCUCUCUUGGUCAAAGCAGUCACAGGCCAGAUUCCAGAGGGUAGUAAAUAGGCCACAUCUCUUUCUGGGAGAAGUGACAAAGAAUUUGUGGCCAUACUUAAUCUAUCAUAGUCAAAGAGCAUAUUGUUGAAGGAUCUUUAUAAGCAACACCAAGGCACUUUCAAGAAAGGUUGUGCUGAUAUGCAAUUCUACCAGCAGUGCAUAAGAAUACCCAUCAUCAUACUCACCAACAUUAAAUAUGGAAAUUUAAAAAAUGUCCACUUACAUAUAAAAUGUGGGAUCUCAUUGUUUUACUUUGAAUUUACUUGAUUAUUAGUGAGUUUCCAUAUGUUUCAUAAAAAUUUAUAUUUCUUUGUGAAUUAUCUGCGUUUUUUUGCG